AGGGCGUAUGGUGGAUGCCUAGGCUCUCAGAGGCGAUGAAGGACGUGAUAAGCUGCGAAAAGCUCCGUUUAGGUGCAAAUAACCUUUGAUGCGGAGAUCUCCGAAUGGGAAAACCCAAUAUGUUGAAGACAUAUUAUACCGUAAGGUAGGCAAACGCAGGGAACUGAAACAUCUAAGUACCUGCAGGAGAAGAAAACAAACGUGAUUCCCCCAGUAGCGGCGAGCGACCGGGGAUAAGCCCAAACCGUUAUUGUUUCGGCAGUAGCGGGGUAGUAGGACUGCGACAUUGAUGAAAUAAAUGAAAUGGAACACUUUGGAAAAUGUGAUCACAGAGGGUGAUAAUCCCGUACAUGCAAGUUUAUGAAUCAUAGCAGUAUCCUGAGUAAGUCGGGACACGUGUAAUCCUGACCGAAUCCGCCGGGACCAUCCGGUAAGGCUAAAUACUAGUCAGUAACCGAUAGUGAACGAGUACGGUGACGGAAAGGCGAAAAGAACAGUGAGAAGCUGAGUGAAAUAGAACCUGAAACCGUUAGCUUACAAUCAGUCAGAGCACUAUCAAUAGUGUGAUGGCGUGCCUGUUGAAGAAUGAGCCGGCGAGUUAUCUUUUCUGGCAAGGUUAAGGAGUUAAUAUCCGGAGCCAUAGCGAAAGCGAGUCUGAAUAGGGCGUUAAGUCAGUGGAGAUAGACCCGAACCCGGGUGAUCUAACCAUGACCAGAAUGAAGCGUGGGUAACACUACGUGGAGGUUCGAACCGACUGAUGUUGAAAAAUCAGCGGAUGAGUUGUGGUUAGGGGUGAAAUGCCAAUCGAACCAAGAGCUAGCUGGUUCUCCCCGAAAUGCGUUUAGGCACAGCGUCUGAUUUAUCUUAUGGGAGGUAGAGCACUAGUCUGGUGCGGGCCGGGUAUUCCGGUACCAAAUCAUGUUAAACUCCGAAUGCCCAUAAUGUUACUGUCAGGCAGUGAGGCUACGAGUGAUAAGAUCCGUGGCCAAGAGGGAAACAGCCCAGAACGCCAGUUAAGGUCCCUAAUAUAUGCUAAGUGAGUAAGGAGGUAGAAUUACUCUGACAACCAGGAGGUUGGCUUAGAAGCAGCCAUUCCUUAAAAGAGUGCGUAAUAGCUCACUGGUCAAGUGACUCCGCGCCGAAAAUAUACCGGGGCUAAGCAUAUAACCGAAACUGCGUCAUAUAACUUGUUAUAUGGGUAGGGGAGCGUUCUGUUGUAGGUUGAAGCUAGAUCGAAAGGACUAGUGGACGAAGCAGAAGUGAGAAUGUCGGCAUAAGUAGCGAAAACAUUGGUGAGAAUCCAAUGCACCGAAAACCUAAGGUUUCCCACGGCAGGCUCGUCCGCGUGGGGUUAGUCGGAUCCUAAGGUCAGGCCGAACGGCGUAGCCGAUGGACAUCAGGUUGAUAUUCCUGAACCGAUUAUUUAUCGUUAUCAGAAGCGGAGGGACGCAGGAGGAUAUGCAUGCAAGCGAUCGGAAGUGCUUGUCAGAGCGUGUAGCCAGACAGGAUAGGAAAAUCCGUUCUGUCGUUAAAGUGAGACGCUGUAUGGGAGAGUCCACGGACUCGAAGAUGUUGAUUCCACACUGCCAAGAAAAGCUUCGCUCUCGAGAUAAAUAACCGUCCGUACCGUAAACCGCCACAGGUAGGUUGGUAGAGUAUACUAAGGUGCGCGAGAUAACUCUCUCUAAGGAACUCGGCAAAAUAGCCUCGUAACUUCGGGAGAAGAGGUACCCUGGUAGCGUGUAGAGAUUUACUCUUGAAGCGUGAUAGGGUCGCAGCGAAAUGAUCCAGGCGACUGUUUACCAAAAACACAGGUCUCUGCUAAGUCGACUAAGACGAUGUAUAGGGGCUGACGCCUGCCCGGUGUCGGAAGGUUACGUGGAAGGGUUAGAGGUCUCCUCGAAGCUCUGAAACUAAGCCCCGAUGAACGGCGGCCGUAACUAUAACGGUCCUAAGGUAGCGAAAUUCCUUGUCAGGUAAGUUCUGACCCGCACGAAUGGCGUAACGAUCUGGAUACUGUCUCGGAGAGAGACUCGGCGAAAUUGGAUUAUCCGUGAAGAUACGGAUUACGCGUACCAGGACAAGAAGACCCUAUUGAGCUUUACUGUAGCUUGAAAUUGAAUUCGGGUUCUUAUUGUGCAGUAUAGGAGGGAGACUUUGAAGCAAGGACGUCAGUCUUUGUGGAGUCGCCGUUGAGAUACCUCUCUGUAAUAAUUUGAAUUCUAACAUCGAUCCCUCUAACAUCAGGGCGAUGGACAGUUUCUGGUAGGCAGUUUGACUGGGGCGGUCGCCUCCUAAAGAGUAACGGAGGCGUUCAAAGGUUCCCUCAGGUUGGUCGGAAAUCAACCGCAGAGUGUAAUAGCAAAAGGGAGCUUGACUGCGAGACCUACAAGUCGAGCAGGUGCGAAAGCAGGAUAUAGUGAUCCGGUGGUCCCGAAUGGAAGGGCCAUCGCUCAUCGGAUAAAAGUUACCAUAGGGAUAACAGGCUUAUCUCCCCCAAGAGUCCACAUCGACGGGGAGGUUUGGCACCUCGAUGUCGGCUCGUCGCAUCCUGGAGCGGUAGUACGUUCCAAGGGUUGGGCUGUUCGCCCAUUAAAGCGGCACGCGAGCUGGGUUCAGAACGUCGUGAGACAGUUCGGUC
rnacentral:rRNA from 1 species